rnacentral:rRNA from 1 species
UGCAGUCGAACGGUAACAGGCCGCAAGGUGCUGACGAGUGGCGAACGGGUGAGUAAUACAUCGGAACGUGCCCGAUCGUGGGGGAUAACGCAGCGAAAGCUGUGCUAAUACCGCAUACGAUCUACGGAUGAAAGCGGGGGAUCGCAAGACCUCGCGCGGACGGAGCGGCCGAUGGCAGAUUAGGUAGUUGGUGGGGUAAAGGCCUACCAAGCCGACGAUCUGUAGCUGGUCUGAGAGGACGACCAGCCACACUGGGACUGAGACACGGCCCAGACUCCUACGGGAGGCAGCAGUGGGGAAUUUUGGACAAUGGGCGCAAGCCUGAUCCAGCCAUGCCGCGUGCAGGAUGAAGGCCUUCGGGUUGUAAACUGCUUUUGUACGGAACGAAAAGGUUUCUUUUAAUACAGGGAACUGAUGACGGUACCGUAAGAAUAAGCACCGGCUAACUACGUGCCAGCAGCCGCGGUAAUACGUAGGGUGCGAGCGUUAAUCGGAAUUACUGGGCGUAAAGCGUGCGCAGGCGGUGAUGUAAGACAGAGGUGAAAUCCCCGGGCUCAACCUGGGAACUGCCUUUGUGACUGCAUCGCUGGAGUGCGGCAGAGGGGGAUGGAAUUCCGCGUGUAGCAGUGAAAUGCGUAGAUAUGCGGAGGAACACCGAUG